UACGUAGGGACCGAGCGUUGUCCGGAAUCAUUGGGCGUAAAGAGCGUGUAGGCGGCCACUUAAGUCCUGCGUGAAAUCUUGCGGCUCAACCGCAAGCGGUCGUGGGAAACUGGGUGGCUAGAGUGCGGGAGAGGAGAGUGGAAUUCCUGGCGUAGCGGUGAAAUGCGCAGAUAUCAGGAGGAACACCAAUGGCGAAGGCAGCACUCUGGGACGUGACUGACGCUGAGACGCGAAAGCGUGGGGAGCAAACAGG
rnacentral:rRNA from 1 species